AGAGGAUCAUAUUUAUAUAGUUAAGCAAUUACAUAGGAUCGUGUUAUUCAAAACAGAGAAUUAUUACAGUAGCCCAGAAUCCAUUUCUUCAAAACAGAAGAUCAAAACAGAGGAGAAAAAUAAUCAGUGAAGAAAUCGGUGGAAAUCGAAAGUUCAGAUCUGGAUUUGUUCAGAUCUAGAUCUGAAUAGACUUAAUUAAAAAAAGCCUCUCCCUCUUCAAAUCAUUCUUCUAAAAUCCACUCCUCAAAGCAAUUGGGUUCAUCAAUGGUGUUGAAGCAUUUGGGUUCCAAAUACAGUACAUUCCUGGAGGUAUAGCUUUCAAUUCGUCAGCUUCCGAUGAAGAAGACGACGGAGGAUCACGUUCUUCACGCUCUUCAAGGAACAGAUUCUUCAACAUCAACAUCACCACGCUUAAUUUUCCGGCACGAUUAUCUGAUUGUGAAAAAAGAUUUGGAUUGAAAAUGGGGAAAACUAAAUUUCUUGCGGACUUGAUUGCUAUUUUAGCUAAUUUAUCGGAAGAGUAACUGUUGAAGCUAGGACUUAACAAUGAAUUUUCAUUUCGUUUCUGAAUUUCUAAGAACACAAAUAAUUGUGUUUGAGUGGAGAGAGAAAAAGAAGUUUAUGCAAUUCUAAGAACACAAAUAGUUGUGUUUGAGUGGAGAGAGAAAAAGAGGUUAAUAG
rnacentral:lncRNA from 1 species